rnacentral:pre_miRNA from 1 species
AACCUACUCCCUCCGUUCGGAAUUACAUGUCGCAGAAAUGGAUGUAUCUAGAUGUAUUUUAGUUCUAGAUACAUCCAUUUCCGAGACAAGUAAUUCCGAACGGAGGGAGUAUGAU